rnacentral:rRNA from 1 species
AGUGAACGCUGGCGGUAGGCCUAACACAUGCAAGUCGAACGGCAGCACAGUAAGAGCUUGCUCUUACGGGUGGCGAGUGGCGGACGGGUGAGGAAUACAUCGGAAUCUACUUUUUCGUGGGGGAUAACGUAGGGAAACUUACGCUAAUACCGCAUACGACCUACGGGUGAAAGCAGGGGAUCUUCGGACCUUGCGCGAUUGAAUGAGCCGAUGUCGGAUUAGCUAGUUGGCGGGGUAAAGGCCCACCAAGGCGACGAUCCGUAGCUGGUCUGAGAGGAUGAACAGCCACACGGGAAGUGAGACACGGUCCAGCCUCCUAGGGGAGGCAGCGGGGGGGAAUAUUGGACAAGGGGCGAAAGCCUGACCCACCAAUACCGGGUGGGGAAAGAAGGCUUUCGGUUUGAAAACCCUUUUUGUGGGAAAAAAAAAGAAGGGGUUAAAUACCCCCCUUUUCGGACGGUACCAAAAAAAAAAGCCCCGGCUACCUUCGUC